rnacentral:rRNA from 1 species
GGGGGAAAGCCUGAUCCAGCCAUGCCGCGUGUGUGAAGAAGGCCUUCGGGUUGUAAAGCAAUUUUAGUUGGGAGGAAGGGAUUAGCCUAAUACCUUGGUGUUUUGACGUUACCGACAGAAUAAGCACCGG